GGUGUACCCUUGCCAUCACUGCCCUCCGCCCCCACCCACUGUCCCCACUUCUGGGUAUUUGUAGUGUGCUCCAGUACAACUUAUCCAAAUGCAGUGCAAACCGUUCGCUCAAGUUUGUGUAUUCGCUGUUCGCACGGCUCAAGAGAGCUGCCAUGGAAGUUGGAUUGAAUCGUUAAUUAAUGCAUGAUAAACUGGAGAGGCAAGGCCGGGCUCGGACUGUCUCCCCGUUUUGACAGUUUAUUUCAUAGGAUAUUUGUGUCGUUGAACGCCGGAUGGGAAUUUGCUGAAUUGUUGCAUGCUUGCUGGCAUGCGAGACAUUGGCAUGUGGCAAAGAUUGUUCGAAAUAUAUUGGAAUCCCAUCUGAAAAGUGCCCUGACUCGAACGGAUGUCGGUUUCGGUAUAGAGGGGAUGAGGAUAAGCGCAGUUGAUUGAAGCUAACCACGUUGAGUAGAAAAGAGACAUCUAUGACCCUCUGCCUAAAAGCCCAGAAUGUGAUUCAUUUGGAGUUUCGUCACCAACUGCUCAUGCU